GACGAACGCUGGCGGCGUGCUUAACACAUGCAAGUCGAACGGAAAGGCCCUGCUUUUGUGGGGUGCUCGAGUGGCGAACGGGUGAGUAACACGUGAGUAACCUGCCCUUGACUUUGGGAUAACUUCAGGAAACUGGGGCUAAUACCGGAUAGGAGCUCCUGCUGCAUGGUGGGGGUUGGAAAGUUUCGGCGGUUGGGGAUGGACUCGCGGCUUAUCAGCUUGUUGGUGGGGUAGUGGCUUACCAAGGCUUUGACGGGUAGCCGGCCUGAGAGGGUGACCGGCCACAUUGGGACUGUGAUACGGCCCAGACUCGUACGGGAGGCAGCAGUGGCGAAUACUGCACAAUGGGCGGAAGCCUGAUGCAGCAACGCCGCGUGCGGGAUGACGGCCUUCGGGUUGUAAACCGCUUUCGCCUGUGACGAAGCGUGAGUGACGGUAAUGGGUAAAGAAGCACCGGCUAACUACGUG
rnacentral:rRNA from 1 species